rnacentral:misc_RNA from 1 species
UGCCUCAGUAACGGCGAGUGAAGCGGCAACAGCUCAAAUUUGAAAUCUGGCUCCUUCGGGGCCCGAGUUGUAAUUUGCAGAGGAUGCGUCGGGUACGGGUUCCUUCCGAGUUCCCUGGAACGGGACGCCAUAGAGGGUGAGAGCCCCGUCUGGUAGGAUACCCAGCCCGUGUGACGCUCCCUCGACGAGUCGAGUAGUUUGGGAAUGCUGCUCUAACGGGAGGUAUACUCCUUCCAAGGCUAAAUACCGGCUGGAGACCGAUAGCGCACAAGUAGAGUGAUCGAAAGAUGAAAAGCACUUUGAAAAGAGAGUCAAACAGCACGUGAAAUUGUUAAAAGGGAAGCGCUCGCUACCAGACUUGGGUUCGGCGGUUCAACCGGGGCCACGCCCCGGGGCAUUCCGCCGGCUCAGGCCAGCAUCAGCUUUCCGUCGGGGGUAAAGGCGUCGGGAAUGUGGCUCCCCUUCGGGGGAGUGUUAUAGCCCGUCGUGUCAUACCCUUCGGGGGGCUGAGGUACGCGCUUCUGCAAGGAUGCUGGCGUAAUGGUAGCUAGUGACCCGUCUUGAAACACGGACCAAGGAGUCAACCUUAUGUGCGAGUGCCCGGGCGUAAAACCCCAGCGCGGAAUGAAAGUGAACGUAGGUGAGAGCUUCGGCGCAUCACCGACCGAUCCUGAUGUCCUCGGACGGAUUUGAGUGAGAGCAUAUAGGGUUGGACCCGAAAGAAGAUGAACUAUGCGUGUGUAGGGUGAAGCCAGAGGAAACUCUGGUGGAGGCUCGCAGCGGUUCUGACGUGCAAAUCGAUCGUCAAACAUGCGCAUGGGGGCGAAAGACUAAUCGAUCUA